GUCUUCUUGUUAUAUUUAGGAAGUCUGGCCUGCCCAGUGAAAAUUAAUUUAACGGCCGCGGUAUACUGACCGUGCAAAGGUAGCAUAAUCAUUAGUCUUUUAAUAGAGGGCUGGUAUGAAGGGUUUAACGAGGUGUUGACUGUCUCAUUUAAUUUGAAUAUUAGAAUUUAAUUUUUUAGUUAAAAAGCUAAAAUAUUAUUGGAAGACGAGAAGACCCUAUAGAGCUUUAUAUUUUUAUUAUUAAUUUAUUAUAGAUUAUUAUUAUUUAUUAUUAAUAAAAAGUAUUUUGUUGGGGUGACAAAAAUAUAUAAUCAACUUUUUUAUUUUAUUUACAUUGAUAUAUGAAUAUUAGAUCCAAUCUUAUUGAUUGUUAGAUUAAGUUACCUUAGGGAUAACAGCGUAAUCCCUCUCCAGAGUUCAUAUUUACAGAGGGGCUUGCGACCUCGAUGUUGGAUUAAGAUAAUAAUUAGGUGCAGCCGCUUAAUUAAUAGGUCUGUUCGACCUUUAAAUUCUU
rnacentral:rRNA from 1 species